AGCGAACGCUGGCGGCAGGCCUAACACAUGCAAGUCGGACGAACUCUUCGGAGUUAGUGGCGGACGGGUGAGUAACACGUGGGAACGUGCCUUUAGGUUCGGAAUAACUCAGGGAAACUUGUGCUAAUACCGAAUGUGCCCUUCGGGGGAAAGAUUUAUCGCCUUUAGAGCGGCCCGCGUCUGGUUAGCUAGUUGGUGAGGUAAUGGCUCACCAAGGCGACGAUCAGUAGCUGGUCUGAGAGGAUGAUCAGCCACAUUGGGACUGAGACACGGCCCAAACUCCUACGGGAGGCAGCAGUGGGGAAUCUUGCGCAAUGGGCGAAAGCCUGACGCAGCCAUGCCGCGUGAAUGAUGAAGGUCUUAGGAUUGUAAAAUUCUUUCACCGGGGACGAUAAUGACGGUACCCGGAGAAGAAGCCCCGGCUAACUUCGUGCCAGCCGCCGCAGUAA
rnacentral:rRNA from 1 species